CCAGAACAUGUAGGAGAGAGAAUGUUGGUAGGGAUUCUGGGGACUCGGAAAUCCAUAGCCCAGUGGGGAUACAGCAGCUCACUUAGUCACAGCCCUUCCCCAACCUGGACCUCAGUUCUCUCAUCUGCACAGUGGAAGAAUUAGACUAGACUGGCAUCCAACAAGAUCUCCUGGGGAGGUUCAGAACACCACGCAUGCCUAGUGCCAGCCUCAGGAUGUGUGUCACUGUGUGUCCCUCGGUGGAGACCUAAUGGUGACAGUGAUGGCUGUCAAGGUCCCUCCAGAUCUAGACACUUACCAGUGUGUGUUUUCUGCCCAAAAGGUGCCUUUCAGGAGUUUGCGCCACCCAGGGCUGGACAUACUCCUCCUCAAACAGUCCAGUCACUCAGGAAAUAUCAGUGGAUUCCAACAGAUGGACGUGCCCCGGAGAAGCCCUACUUCCCAAGGCGUGUAUCUCGGAAAACCACUGGGAUGUGGAGUUGGAGCUUCCUGUUUUCCCCAAUCCCCACAGCAAGACAGUGGGCUAAGCGCAUCCUUUGCUCGCACUCACGGACAGGGUCUCAGCUCCACAGGCUGUGCAAGGUAAGGUCAGCCCUCUGGUGCCUGGGAAGGCAAAUUCAGCUGGCCCUGGAGGAGG
rnacentral:lncRNA from 1 species